GUGACAGCCGCCGCGGUAAUACGUAGGGGGCGAGCGUUGUCCGGAUUUAUUGGGCGUAAAAGGCUUGUAGGUGGCCACGUCAAGUCGGAUGUGAAAUCUCCCGGCUCAACUGGGAGGGGUCAUUCGAUACUGGCGGGCUCGAGGCCGGUAGGGGGAAGCGGAAUUCCGGGUGUAGUGGUGGAAUGCGUAGAUAUCCGGAGGAACACCAGAGGCGAAGGCGGCUUCCUGGACCGGUUCUGACACUGAGGAGCGAAAGCGUGGGGAGCGAUCCGGAUUAGAAACCCCCGUAGUCC
rnacentral:rRNA from 1 species